rnacentral:rRNA from 1 species
AUUGAACGCUGGCGGAAUGCUUUACACAUGCAAGUCGAACGGCAGCACGGGGGUAACCCUGGUGGCGAGUGGCGAACGGGUAAGUAAUACAUCGGAACGUGCCCAAUCGUGGGGGAUAACGUAGCGAAAGCUACGCUAAUACCGCAUACGAUCUACGGAUGAAAGCGGGGGAUCGCAAGACCUCGCGCGAAUGGAGCGGCCGAUGGCAGAUUAGGUAGUUGGUGGGGUAAAGGCUAACCAAGCCAACGAUCUGUAGCUGGUCUGAGAGGACGACCAGCCACACUGGGAAUGAGACACGGCCCAGACUCCUACGGGAGGCAGCAGUGGGGAAUUUUGGACAAUGGGCGCAAGCCUGAUCCAGCCAUUCCGCGUGCAGGAUGAAGGCCUUCGGGUUGUAAACUGCUUUUGUACGGAACGAAACGGCCCUUUCUAAUACAGAGGGCUAAUGACGGUACCGUAAGAAUAAGCACCGGCUAACUACGUGCCAGCCGCCGCCGUAA